UGAGCUUUGAUUUCUACUUUAUCCAAUCACACUACCAACAAAGAGAGAGAAAAACAAACGAUAUCACAAAUCAAAGAAACAGGAAGAGGAAGCAGCUUGGCCACAAACCUGUCGGUCUUAAUAAACAACCUGGAAAAUAACAUCAUAAUAAAACAUCACAAGUUGAACAGAGCCCUACAUCGAUGCAUCCAUCCCACCUUCAAUCGGCCUUCGUCGACGCCACCACAAGAUCCAACAAAUCUGGAGUCCAACGAAUAA